rnacentral:rRNA from 1 species
GGGCAUGGCGGCAGCCUACCAUGCAAGUCGAACGGUAGCACAGAGAGCUUGCUCUCGGGUGACGAGUGGCGGACGGGUGAGUAAUGUCUGGGAAACUGCCUGAUGGAGGGGGAUAACUACUGGAAACGGUAGCUAAUACCGCAUAAUGUCGCAAGACCAAAGAGGGGGACCUUCGGGCCUCUUGCCAUCAGAUGUGCCCAGAUGGGAUUAGCUAGUAGGUGGGGUAACGGCUCACCUAAGCGACGAUCCCUAGCUGGUCUGAGAGGAUGACCAGCCACACUGGAACUGAGACACGGUCCACACUCCUACGGGAGGCAGCAGUGGGGAAUAUUGCACAAUGGGCGCAAGCCUGAUGCAGCCAUGCCGCGUGUAUGAAGAAGGCCUUCGGGUUGUAAAGUA